AUUAAAAUCGGCGAGAAGGAGGAGGUGCGGCCGCCACCCGCCGGGGAGGAGGCACGGAGAACGUAAUAGCGCCGCGGUGAUUCGGAUAUAGGUUAGAUUACGCUCUGUUAGACCGACCGAUUCUGACGGAUCGCAGCGACACGGCUGCCGCCGCCACCGUCGACGACGACGAUGAUACUACUACUUGUUAGGGUGCGUUUUGACUGGACGAGCUGGAACCGGACUCCACUGGAGCGAGAGCGUUCGCUCGCUCCUGCUCGUUUAGAAUAUAUCGGAUUGCUAACUAAGCCUUCGUCGGUGCUUUCUAAUUUGAAAAUUUGAAAUUUCCAUACAAUCAGUCGAAACCUUUUACCUUGAAAAUUUUCAAAAUCUCAUAUUUCUAUAGUUCUGAAUUUCCAUAUUUCCAAUUUGCCAAAUUCUUACUUUUAAAAUUCUAAAUUGGUAAAUUUUAGUAUUUCUACAAUUAAAAAUUUUUAAGUUGUUCUAGGUACAUUGAAUUGAAUCAAGUCAAACUAAAUUGAAUGGAAAACGACAAACGAGCAUUUGAUGAACAAUCGAACUGCAAAGAAUGCUCUACGUUUGUAUUUUACCAAAGUGGGGGAAAAUGAGCAUUCGCUCGUUCAGUCAAAACACACCCUAAAACUUCACGUGUGCACUCUUUGACGCUGCUUGCAUCUUCUUCCUUCUUUUGUCUCUCCGUUUUCUUCUCUUCUUCUACUACCGAUAAAUAUUGAAGUGGAGGAAUUUAAAACAUGGCAUUUAAUAAAGAGACAAAGUUACCUGUGACUCUUUUUUUAGUACCUCUGAAAAUGAUUUUGUAUAUCUGUAAAUUAUUGAAGUAGUGGUACUGCGUUGAAUCUCAAUAUUUGGAAGAGAUAUUUUUACAUAACUUUAUUGUAAUUUAUUAAAAGGAAAGAAUGAAAAAUAAAUAACUGGUUCAUAUUUCUACAAUCUAGAUUUCAGUGGCACGGUCAAACCUUGGCAUCAUUUCAUAAUGGGAUUAGUGUCUUAAUAUAAGGUUUCACGAAGUCCAUAGCUUGUGUACACUACAUUUCUUAGAUUAAGAUCCAUGAGUACCUAUAAUACCACUAUCAUUUUCAUUUAGUUUUAUUUAUUUUUCAUUCACGUGGUUUAUUUUACAUUUUGGAGUCAAAUGAGGUUCUGACUAGUGUUAGUCAUCAGGAUAUUUUAUUGUUAGUGUGAAAAUAAAGUACAAGCAGUGAAUAUUGUUACAUUUCUAAAACGUUUAUAAACGUUUUACUUAUAAUAUCCGUUUUUGAAUUAUAAAAUUUUUCAUUGGUUAGAUGAAAUAAUAUUUGAACUCCAUUUGUACACAAAUGUAACCAUUAUACAUAAGUAAUUAUUGAGGUUUUGAAGUAUUCAGUUUACUUCUGUAUAAUAUUUAAAGUAUUUAAUAUACCUGUUGAAACCAUACUGUUAAAUAUGUUGAAUCAGAGUUAAAAAUUUAUGAGAUAAGUUGAGGAAGUGCUAAUAGAUGACUAAUGUUAAAUAUGCUAUAUGCAGCUAAUUGAGAUGCACAUAAAGAUUACACAUGCUGAAUAAGAAUUUCAAGAGUAACUGAAUUUAAAUUCAAAUGUAUCAAAGUUGUACAUUUAUCCUGUAGUAUAACUUCAAAUUUUUUUAAGAUUUUUAAGAGUUUGGAAAGAAAAUUAGUUUCACUUUUAUUUUAUUAACAAUACAUAUAUUAAAAUAACAUCUUAAACAAUCUGUAUGUGCUAUUGUUUGCUACACAAACAAUAUUCUGAUAGUUUCCUAUAAAAGUUAAUAUUGUUGCAUUAUUGAAAAUAAGAAUAAUGGUAGUUAUAACUAAAUUUCGUAUUUAUUAUAUUAAUUUAUUGGUAUACUUUUAUGUAAGAUAAUUUAAUGGAAGAUCAUAAGGAGGACACGUUACAGGGUACAUUAUUAAACAAGACACGCAGUUAAAUCAUAAACGCUUAUGUUACAAACCAGUAAUUGUUUAUUAUAAUCGUCUUUAACUGAAAAGGACAAUUAUAGCGAUAAAUGUAUAUACGCAUUAUAAUUAUAAAUGAUAUAACAACUGGUUGCUCCACUGCUACACUAAAUUUCAGAUCUCUGUGUUAUUACAUGGGUGCAUUAAAAACUCUAAUCAAUAUCAACAGUUGCUUGUUGCUUGCAUGUUAUAUUAAUAUAAUAAAUUAAUAAAUA